GAACUAACAAGGAUUCCCCUAGUAACUGCGAGUGAAGCGGGAAAAGCUCAAAUUUAAAAUCUGGCAGUCUUUGAUUGUCCGAGUUGUAAUCUGGAGAAGUGCUUUCCGCGCCGGACCGUGUACAAGUCUCUUGGAAUAGAGCGUCAUAGAGGGUGAGAAUCCCGUCUUUGACACGGACUACCGGUGCUUUGUGAUGCGCUUUCAAAGAGUCGAGUUGUUUGGGAAUGCAGCUCAAAAUGGGUGGUAAAUUCCAUCUAAAGCUAAAUAUUGGCGAGAGACCGAUAGCGAACAAGUACCGUGAGGGAAAGAUGAAAAGCACUUUGGAAAGAGAGUUAAACAGUACGUGAAAUUGCUGAAAGGGAAACACUUGAAGUCAGUCGCGUUGUUCAGAACUCAGCCUGGCCUUGGCCUGGUGCAUUUUCUGAACGACGGGCCAGCAUCAAUUUUGACUGUUGGAUAAAGGUUAGGGAAAUGUGGCUUCUUCGGGAGUGUUAUAGUCCUUGGCUGCAUACAAUGGUUGGGAUUGAGGAACUCAGCAUGCCUUUAUGGUCGGGGUUCGCCCACGUUCAUGCUUAGGAUGCUGGCGUAAUGGCUUUAAAUGACCCGUCUUGAAACACGGACCAAGGAGUCUAACAUGCCUGCAAGUGUUUGGGUGGAAAACCCGAGCGCGCAAUGAAAGUGAAAGUUGGGAUCCCUGUCGUGGGGAGCACCGACGCCCGGACCAGACCUUCUGUGACGGAUCCGCGGUGGAGCAUGUAUGUUGGGACCCGAAAGAUGGUGAACUAUGCCUGAAUAGGGUGAAGCCAGAGGAAACUCUGGUGGAGGCUCGGAGCGAUUCUGACGUGCAAAUCGAUCGUCAAAUUUGGGUAUAGGGGCGAAAGACUAAUCGAACCAUNNNNNNNNNNNNNNNNNNN
rnacentral:rRNA from 1 species